rnacentral:rRNA from 1 species
AUUGAACGCUAGCGGGAUGCCUUACACAUGCAAGUCGAACGCGUGGCGAACGGGUGAGUGACACGUGGGUGAUCUGCCUUGCACCCUGGGAUAAGCUUGGGAAACUGGGUCUAAUACCGGAUAGUGCAAGAUGAGCUCGCGGCCUAUCCGCUGGUUGGUGGGGUAGUGGCUACCAAGGCGCGACGGGUAGCCGGCCUGAGAGGGUGUACGGCCACAUUGGGACUGAGACACGGCCCAGACUCCUACGGGAGGCAGCAGUGGGGAAUUUUGGACAAUGGGGGAAACCCUGAUCCAGCCAUCCCGCGUGUGCGAUGAAGGCCUUCGGGUUGUAAAGCACUUUUGGCAGGAAGGCGGUACCUGCAGAAUAAGCACCGGCUAACUACGUGCCAGCAGCCGCGGUAAUUC